GGCAAUAUGGCCGAGUGGUCUAAGGCGCCAGAAUCAGGUCGUAAAGCACGUAUCUGGUCCGAAAGGGCGUGGGUUCGAAUCCCACUGUUGUCA
rfam:Coprinopsis cinerea okayama7#130 chromosome 5 cont3.5, whole genome shotgun sequence.